UGCUUGUAAGACUAUUCUUUGACACAUUUUCUCUUCCUUUGAAAUUCUUAUAGGACAGAACAUGGACACAAUGCAAUUGGGAUCAAGAAGAAGAUCUUCUCAGAAAUGAAUCCAUGAGUCCAUGGAAUGGAUAUAGACAAAAAGAUAAUUCAAGGACUAUCAGAGGUCGAGAGGCGAGGCAGGGGACUGGAGACCACAGCAGCGAUCCUGCUCUUGCCCUACCUCUUCAAUGAGGACCCAAGUGGCCUUUAUGUCCGUGAC